rnacentral:rRNA from 1 species
UGGGGGAUAUUGCGCAAUGGAGGAAACUCUGACGCAGCAACGCCGCGUGAAGGAAGAAGGUCUUCGGAUUGUAAACUUUUGUCUUCGGGGACGAUAAUGACGGUACCCGAGGAGGAAGCCACGGCUAACUACGUGCCAGCAGCCGCGGUAAUACGUAGGUGGCGAGCGUUGUCCGGAAUUACUGGGUGUAAAGGGUGCGUAGGCGGGUUGACAAGUCAGAUGUGAAAAUCCCGGGCUUAACUUGGGAACUGCAUUUGAAACUGGGUAUCUAGAGUGCGGGAGAGGAAAGUGGAAUUCCUAGUGUAGCGGUGAAAUGCGUAGAGAUUAGGAAGAACGCCAGUGGCGAAGGCGACUUUCUGGACCGUAACUGACGCUGAGGCAUGAAAGCGUGGGGAGCAAACA